UUUGUGAUCUGAAAGUGAAGUGUCUUGGGCUGUAGCAAUACUGAGACAUGCUGUUCUUACAGGUCCAUGCUACUCAUAAUCCUGUAUUACUAAUAUGGAUCCUGAUGACAAGGGAAAGCACAUCUUGGUUUGCAGGAACUUUUUAACUGGAAAAGAGAAACAUUUCUGAACCAGCUCCAUCUGCCAACCAGACUCCAGCUCCUCUGUAUCCCAUCUUCAUCAUUAGAUUUAAAGGAGUCUUUGUCUGCCCUAUGGUUGAUUUGCUGUUGCACAUAGACAACUGUGGAACUCUGCCUAAUUUAUACCAUUGAAGCAUCAGACACACUGCCAUUGGGAGUUGCAAACCAAUGCAGCUGAUAUUCGGUGCAAAAACUCCUUGAUCCACAAAUGGGAGCUCUGCUAGGAGAGCUAAAUGGUAAUAUCUCCCCAUUGCUUCACAUACAUCAUCCAGUUAUCAACUUUUCAGGCCUGCAUGUGAUUCUCCCUGAAUUAUCAAUGAAUGCACUCUCUGUGCCAACCUGUGUCCAGGUCACCGGAAUGGAUUAACCAGUUAGCAACAUGUCAAUCCCCUCUGUGGCUGGACUUGCUCAAGGUACAGUCUGUGAGUUACCAGGGAUGAGCCAGGCAGCAUCUUCAUCAGGUUUUAUAUUGUUCAACAAAAUUUAAGAGGGAUGCCAACUGAAUGCUACACGUGUAUGGAAUGAACAUAGAACAAUGAAGCAAAUGAAGUACAACACAAUGUCACCAAGAAAGCAAGCUAUGGAAUUUGAAGAUCUUCUGUUGAUUGGAAGAGAAUGAAUAUGUACUCAAAUAGUUUUCGGUCCUUAGCAAUUAUACAGUUUUGUGGGGCUGGGGUGCAGCCA